GACGAACGCUGGCGGCGUGCUUAACACAUGCAAGUCGAGCGGUAAGGCCCUUUCGGGGGUACGACGAGCGGCGAACGGGUGAGUAACACGUGGGUGACCUGCCCUUAGCUCUGGGAUAAGCCUGGGAAACUGGGUCUAAUACCGGAUAUGACUCCAUGACGCAUGUUGUGGGGUGGAAAGCCUUGUGCGGCUAGGGAUGGGCCCGCGGCCUAUCAGCUUGUUGGUGGGGUGAUGGCCUACCAAGGCGACGACGGGUAGCCGGCCUGAGAGGGCGACCGGCCACACUGGGACUGAGACACGGCCCAGACUCCUACGGGAGGCAGCAGUGGGGAAUCUUGCGCAAUGGGCGAAAGCCUGACGCAGCGACGCCGCGUGC
rnacentral:rRNA from 1 species